AUCAGUGGCAUUCACACCACUACUGAAGCAGGGCGGGGGGAGCAGCAAAAUGUGAACAAGUAACAAAAGACGGAAAUGGCUAGUCAAUAGCAUCAUCUCCAGAGUGACAGUCAGCGUCGUCCACUUGGCCUCAAAAGAGAUAUGUCCAACAAGUUAAGGUUUCAACAAGUUAACUCCCUCAUCAGAGCCAAUUCAGACAUGAUAUUGUUCUCGGCCUACCUGGAAGAUGUUUGGAGCGUACGUGUAAUGUAAAAAAGAAAGAAAGAAAGAAAGAAAGAAAGAAAGAAAGAAAGAAAGAAAGAAAGAAAGAAAUUGAUGGGGAUAAGUUGACAAUACACUUUCGGAGACAAACUGUUGAGUAACAGCAUGUUACAAAGGUGCUUAUGAAUUUGGAUUGAUUUUUGAGGACAACAAAUAUUGGAGAAAGCCUUUCUACUCCCUGUGUCUCUUUCAGAGACCAAUAAGAGCACACAGAAUGCAGGGGUGAUAAUGCAUAUAUCGGGGCCAAAUGAAAAACAGAUUUUAUUAGUAAGACUGCUGAGUUUUCAAACGGGGGAGAUGUUGGAAACAGUCUGAGCCAAAAUCCCUGAGCAGCUUAUGAACAACCUCAGAGCUACCCCUUCCAGCAGACUUACCUUCCAGCAGAACCCAGUAAGGGAGUUGCUUCUCAGACUUGAAAACUUUAACAAGAGGAAGUGCAAAGAUUCCUGGGAACUGCUCUGUGCCCAGUCUUGUUCUGGGCCCUUUCUACAGUCCAGAGGUCCUGGCAAACAAUUUCUCCUAGAGAUUUUGGCACUUUUGCUAAGCCUUUCAGGCCUAAUGGAGGCUGAGAAGGAGUCUUCCCCUUCAGGGUUGGCCCCUCAAUGGAGCAGACUGAAGGGGUCCUACCUCAUGGGGGCAGGGGCCAUAUGGGGAGAACUCCACCUGCCUCUGCUGCUCUUUCUCCUCAUGCUGCUGAGCUUGCUGCAUUUAAAAAGGAAGAAAGGAACAGAGUGGAAAAAUAAGUAUAGAGGAGCAGAGUGGCCUUAGACUCUCUCCUGAGGAAGGCCAGAGUGCCUCUUGCGAGUGGUGGGCUAGACUGCUGGGUGGAUAGGGUGGCCAACACCUGGUGUCCCACCUGAGGUGUAGGUUGAUUCCAGACUGAUCCUGAUCACACUUUGUGAAUGUCCCUCCCCUUUCUAAUUUUGGGAGAUAGGAAAGGUGCAGAGGUGCGGAAGCGGGGGAGGAAGAAAACUGGAGGCAGGGAAGGGUGGAGAUAAUGGAGGGAAGAUAGUGGUGGCCCCUACCCAAACUGUAGCUGGGCAUCAUGUCAGAUGCAGGAGGCAUGGCCAGUAUUUGGAAGAGGGGCUGCUUGGUCCCUCUCCCAAUGCUCCCCAGUUGGCAUUUUGUUCAAGGGCUGGCUGGGUGCAUCUUUCUCUGCCUUGCUGAGCAUGAGGCAGAGAAAGAAGCACCCAGUCAGCCAGCUCUUGAACAAAGCACUGACUGACUGGGGAGGAUCAUAAGAGGGGCAGAGCAGCCCCUCUUCCCAAUCCUGACUAUGCCCCUUGCAUCGGUGUGCAGAUGCUGAUGCAAGGGUUGGGGCCAGUAUCAGAAAGAGGGAUCUUGAACGAAGCACCAGCUGGGCAGAAGAGGAGUGUGCCAGCCAGCCAGCACUUCAUUUGCCAGCUGGCUGUGGGAGAGGAACAAGGUGGUAUCUUGGGGAGGGGCCCUGAUCCUGGUGGUCCAGGGACAUUUGCCCCACACCCAUCCCAAUCCAGUGGUGGCUGCGUCCUUGGUCAUAAAUCUCAUGUGGAAAGUGUCCCCAGGCUGUUUUUCUCAGACAAACACUGAAUCCAAGGCGAGCAGGAGGUGUGGCUAAGGAACAUAUCAGUGUAGAGGAUGAGGCUAGCCUCUACCUAGGUAUUGUGUACCUGGUUGAAUAAUACAUGAAUAAGACUGUUAUUUCAAAAGAAGUUUUACCAAAAUAGUCUGGUUCACUUGCUUUUUAAUAUGAAAAGUGAGUAUCCAGACUGAAAACGUCCAGCCUCUACUCCAGGACUAGAAUACAAGUGACUAAAGCACCAUUCAAAAGCUGGCCUGGAUCAAUGAACGGAUUAACCAAAAAUACCACAGUUAUGUCUGUUUUGAGAUCUCCUGAGUGAUACAGAUGGUGCAUGCUUUCAGUGUCUAGGUGAUGUGAAGACUCUGGAGUAACUGGUUCAGCCACCUAAUGUUACAAAGGGACAACAUAGACAGAAGGCAAUCUGGCUGCCAUUAGCUACUUUUAUCUUAUAGGUCCCUGGACUAAAAUGCCCAUAUGUGAGGGGAAAGAUGGGGAUAAGGGCCUACAGGUGGAUACGAAAAGAAAAGAAAAAGCAGAGUUUGACAAUGAAACUAGCCAAAGGGGGCCUAGGAAUUGAAGUCUGUGGUUGGUUCUGGGGAAUUAGGGCAUAGAAGAAGACCAGGGAGGAUCCUGAGAGGGAAAGGUAGACUGGGCAAGAGGGCAGACUCCCAGUAGAGCAGAAGAGGCUGAAUGUUCUCACACUGUCUUGAAAUAAGCAGCCACAACUUUGGCCACAGGCCUCUCUUGUGUGAGAGUAAUUGAGAAAUUGAAGAUGAUGUCCCAAUAUUAGCUAUUACAGAGGCAAUAAACUGCAGCUGCCAUGAAUCCUCCUGACACCGUGUCAGGAUUCUUGGUAGAGUUAAAGUACAGAAGCAUGGUUGUUUUGUUUCUCCUCCUCUGCUGUUCUGCUGGGUGGGUUGCCUUUGUUAUCAGAAGACUGAGCUAUGUGACCACUGGUAAAUGUUGAUGGCUGUACAGUAAGACUCCAGAAGAAAAUUACUUUGAGAAUUACUGCCUCAGGAGCUCAUUGCAAGUGGGGCCAAAAUUUGCAGCAGGAAAUUAUUUAUAUUUCCCAUGUUUGUACUAAUUAUAGCAUGUAAUGGUGAGUGUGGGAGGUAAGAGCAGCUCCUGGUAGAAGGGGUUGGGUUUUUCAUUUCCAAUAUGUUUGUUAAAUGAUGGCUUAAAGCAGGAAUGGGGGUGAGGAUUUACUGCUGAGAAGGACAAAAGAGGAACAAUUUUUAGACGUCUCUUUGAAAUAUGCUCACUUCAGCUUCAGUACACCACCAGCAAAGAAAAUGGCUUUAAUCAAGCUCUUUUUGCAAUAUGAAAUACAAAGAAACUUUUAAAUGAAUGUGCUGUGCAAUUCUGGAGAACCUUUUCAGGCUUUGGAUUCCUGCUUGUUUGUUUUAUUAAUACAGGCAGCACAGUUGCUCACCGUGCUGGAUUUUAA